rnacentral:SRP_RNA from 1 species
GACGUAUGGCCUUGUCGACAGCGCAUCGUGAACUCCGCCAGGCCCGGGAGGGAGCAACGGUAGCGAAAAGCGGGUGUGGCAAGGCCCUUACUUUUUU